GAUGAACGCUGGCGGCGUGCCUAAUACAUGCCAGUCGAGCGAACAGACGAGGAGCUUGCUCCUCUGACGUUAGCGGCGGACGGGUGAGUAACACGUGGAUAACCUACCUAUAAGACUGGGAUAACUUCGGGAAACCGGAGCUAAUACCGGAUAAUAUAUUGAACCGCAUGGUUCAAUAGUGAAAGACGGUUUUGCUGUCACUUAUAGAUGGAUCCGCGCCGCAUUAGCUAGUUGGUAAGGUAACGGCUUACCAAGGCAACGAUGCGUAGCCGACCUGAGAGGGUGAUCGGCCACACUGGAACUGAGAAACGGUCCAGACUCCUACGGGAGGCAGCAGUAGGGAAUCUUCCGCAAUGGGCGAAAGCCUGACGGAGCAACGCCGCGUGAGUGAUGAAGGUCUUCGGAUCGUAAAACUCUGCUAUUAGGGAAGAACAAAUGUGUAAGUAACUAUGCACGUCUUGACGGUACCUAAUCAGAAAGCCACGGCUAACUACGUG
rnacentral:rRNA from 1 species